UGCGUAGGCGGAUUGAUAAGUCAGUGGUGAAAACCUUCAGCUUAACUGGAGACUUGCCAUUGAUACUGUUAGUCUUGAGUACGGUCAAGGUAGGCGGAAUGUGUAAUGUAGCGGUGAAAUGCUUAGAUAUUACACAGAACACCGAUCGCGAAGGCAGCUUACUGGGCCAUUACUGACGCUGAGGCACGAAAGCGUGGGGAGCGAACAGGAUUAGAUACCCUGGUAGUCC
rnacentral:rRNA from 1 species